GUCUACUGCUAAUGGAGACUGGUUGGGAAAAUUGGCCUAAUUUUGGAAUUCAGUGAAUUGUCUCCUUUGACUCUCAGACUGAGUGACACCUCCAAUUUAGCCUUUAUUUGUAGAGGGAUUAUGCAAAGCACUAUUAUUGUCUUUAGAAACGUGGGAAGUUCUCCACCUGCAUUUAUUUGCUCUAAGAUGGAAACUGCGUGAAGCAAAAAAUAGAAGAGCCAAAUUCAACCACCAGCUACUGUAGAAUACCCACCUCUGGACCUGCCCCCAAACUGCGGCACAAGGGCAUCUUCCNGCUACUGUAGAAUACCCACCUCUGGACCUGCCCCCAAACUGCGGCACAAGGGCAGGUGACUUCUCGGAAGAUGCCAUUCUGUACCACUAGUAUGCAUGAACACUCCUCCCACUGCCUGGGUGUCCUAUGAAUCACUAAUUCCAGGAAGUUUAAGGACUCAGCUCUCCAGGAGGAGAGGGCAUCUAUCAUCUAAAACUUCCGAAUGUUUAACUCUCAUGAAUGGAGUGAUGGUAGGUGAU
rnacentral:lncRNA from 1 species